GUCAAUACCAUAAUAAAAAGUAGCUUAAAAUAAAACACGCAUAAAACAUACAAUAAUCUUCAAAGUUUUUAAAAGGAAGACUUGCCACCGCCGAUCAAGCACCCAAUUCUGAGAGAAGCUGCUCAGCGACGAUGGAGGAAACUUGAAGACGUGACCAAUGAGACAGACACAAAACAAACCCCAAGCAGAUAUUAAUUCAACAACAACCCAGUCAUCAUUGUGACUAACAUCAAGCCGUUCGGCUUUACUACCGCCAACGGCUACUCGUACCAUUCACUUCCCUGAUUUCUUAGCUGCAGACUUGGUGACUUUAGCGCCGGAUGGGUCCUUCUUCUCGACGGCCUUGAUGACACCAACAGCCACAGUUUGACGCAUGUCCCUCACAGCAAAUCGUCCAAGUGGAGGAUACUCGGAGAAUGUUUCCACCACCAUGGGCUUGGUGGGGAUCAUCUUAACAAAUCCAGCAUCACCGUUUUUCAAGAACUUGGGCUCUUUCUCGAGUUCUUUUCCAGAUCGCCUGUCAAUCUUGGUUAAAAUCUCGGCAAAUUUGACUGCAAUGUGAGAGGUGUGGCAGUCGAGGACAGGAGCAUAGCCAUUUCCAAUCUGCCCUGGAUGGUUCAUGAUAAUAACUUGGGAAGUGAAAUUGGCAGCUUCCUUAGCAGGGUCGUCCUUGGAAUUUGAGGCAACGUAACCACGCUUGAGAUCCUUCACAGCAACAUUCUUCACGUUGAACCCCACAUUGUCACCAGGAAGGGCCUCCUGGAGAGCCUCGUGA
rnacentral:misc_RNA from 1 species